rnacentral:lncRNA from 1 species
UGUUCUGUCAAAGAUUUAUGAAAUUAAUUGUUUGAAUGUACCUGUUAAAUUGUUGUUUUUCACCGGUUCAUCGCGUUAAUAAGCUGUCUUUACCGCUUAGCGUUAUUGGUAAUAAAUAAAAUGCUACAUGUGUUUGGAGGUCUUUCAUGUGUCCUGGUGUUGUUACUGUGCAGGGUGCCACUCUGGGUGGCGCCAUUACUCCGUGCAGCCGCCAGACUGAAGACUGAUCCGGCCAGGCGGAGGAAGGCUUACCGCCUGAUCCAGAGACAGCUAGUACAUCACAAAGUGGGUUGCAGCAAUCUGGAUAGGCCCACCUACGUUUAUCCAGCUGAGCUGAAGCAGAUGAUCCGCACAGCAUUCCCAGGGGACAUAUGUGACCAUCAGGACCCAUGCCAUGACAAUGUGUUUAUUGUCUCGAUGGAUGACCUGAACAAAGUGGGACUGACUGAUCAGAACUGAAGCUCUUUAGUGAAGACCUUUUUCCGGGGGGUUUGAAAAUGUUAUAUCAUUCCAUGUGUGGUUUUCAGAUGUUUAUUCUUGACACUUUAUACCUUUAGUUAAAUAAAGUAACAGUUUAACUGUUAUUAGAUGGUUAA